AAUAUUGUUUAUGUUUUUGUUAUGUUGAAGUUCUCCGAUAGAAAGCUCCGAAAAAUUGUUAACUAUCCUCAUGGAAUAGAAUCAAAAUCAACUUAAUUACUUAUAAUGGUAAUGGAGAAAGUGUGUUAUCCCACAUCCUAAGUGUGCUCCUAAGGAACUCCAGCAGCAGGCGACUACGACCCAGAUGUGAAUCCGGACUUUUUUUGCUCUCUCUUAGUCGGAACCCUGAUCCAACGGAAUACAGGAGCUCAGCUAACCACAGCCAGUGUAUCUGUUCUAAUAACAUAUGUAUAUUUUGGGAAAAGAUUUCCACUCAAUCAAAUAGGUAGUCACUAUGAAGUCUGCUACGAAACGGCAAUCCUGUUUGGUCUUUGCGGCAACUAAGAAUAUCCCGAAUGCAUACUACUGGUUCAACGGUUGUUGGAGCCGGACGGUUGAAUCAAAACGGGUUAGCGCCAGUACGUCGGUUGAUUAUAUGUUAUAUCAUUGCUUCGCUGGACAGUUGUUGUUCUGGAACAGGAACAGGAUUAUGUUGUUGAUCAUAUGUUAUUUAUCAGUGUUCAAGUGAUCAGAAUUCGAAAGAACAUUAA